rnacentral:lncRNA from 1 species
CAUUAUAUGACGGUCUUUUGAUGGCGAAUUUUCGCUAUCAAUAAUUCAGUUCUUUUGAUGGCGAAAAUCCACAAUCAAUUGUUUUAGUCCGCCGAGAAAAGGCAUGGGCUCAACGGAAAUUUCAAUAAUUUAUUUUCGAUGGUGGUAUUUUACUGGCGGAAAUCCGUCAUCUAAAAUAUCCCGUUUAAACUUUCGAAUCCCCCCCCCAAUAUUUAACCCGAUUACCCGAUUAAAUCCGCCAUGAUAAGUAUUCGAGGAAUCAGGCGGAAAUUAUUAAAAAGCCCGCCAAAAUUUCAAUAUUUUUUUUAUCAUAUGUAAUUGUAUAUUAUAAGUAAUUGUAUAGAGUUAUUCGGGUUGCUAACUCAACGACAGAGUACUCGGCUUGCGGCUACGAUCUUUUACAUAUUUAGAUAGAGCAACGAAUUCAUCUAGACUUUUGGUUGAGUCUAUAAGACCACGAACGACAUUUGAGUUAUUUGACAUAGGCGUCUACUGUUAAUAUGAUUUUGUUAUUAUAGUUAAUUGUGUUUGUCUACUGUUAGUUAAUAUGAUUUUGUUUAAAAAUAUGAAUGAGUUUAGGGUCUAAUACAUGUUUACAUAUUUAGGGAUGAUCAAAAG